GGGAGUGUCCAGAGCUUCUUGUCAAAGCCUGAUCUCAUCUGAUCUCAGAAGCUAAACAUGGUCGGGUUCGGUAAGUGUUUGGACGGGACCAUUGGGAAUAUCCGGUGCCACAGUGA
rnacentral:rRNA from 1 species